GAUGAACGCUGGCGGCGUGCCUAAUACAUGCAAGUCGAGCGAACAGACGAGGAGCUUGCUCCUCUGACGUUAGCGGCGGACGGGUGAGUAACACGUGGAUAACCUACCUAUAAGACUGGGAUAACUUCGGGAAACCGGAGCUAAUACCGGAUAAUAUAUUGAACCGCAUGGUUCAAUAGUGAAAGACGGUUUUGCUGUCACUUAUAGAUGGAUCCGCGCCACAUUAGCUAGUUGGUAAGGUAACGGCUUACCAAGGCGACGAUGCGUAGCCGACCUGAGAGGGUGAUCGGCAACACUGGAACUGAGACACGGUCCAGACUCCUACGGGAGGCAGCAGUAGGGAAUCUUCCGCAAGGGGCGAAAGCCUGACGGAGCAACGCCGCGUGAGUGAUGAAGGUCUUCGGAUCGUAAAACUCUGUUAUUAGGGAAGAACAAAUGUGUAAGUAACUAUGCACGUCUUGACGGAACCUAAUCAGAAAGCCACGGCUAACUACGUG
rnacentral:rRNA from 1 species